rnacentral:tRNA from 1 species
AAUAAGAAGCAAUAUUGCAUUUAAUUUCGACUUAAAAGAAAGAGAUAAAUUAUCUCCUUAUUUU